GCAGCCUGGGCCUCCCUGCACCAGCCUCGGUCUCCCUGCACCAGCCUUUCUCAGGAGGUCUCUCUGUCCUGGUCCGCACCUCCUCUGCUUCUCUCCCGCCUCUCUGUAUUUCUGCUUUUCACCCUUUCUCUCUCCCGCCGCACCGACCGAAGCCGAGUUGAGCUAGGGGAGCCCAAGCGGCGUAGAAAGUCGGGUGAAGGCGGAGCCAAGAACGGAAAGAGCCAUCACUAGAGUCCACGGGGCGUUCUGCUUCCUUUGGGAAGUCGCGGACCCGGGCGUUUCCCGGGACGCUGGCUCUGACGCCUGCGAAGGGCAGGACGGGGCUAAGGCCAUUCCGCUGCCCUUCCAGCUUUGGAAUCACCCAAUGCACGGGUUUCAACCGUAGCCAGCAAGAUGCGCCUCUCCGGUUUUCUGAGGCUUUGGAGCCUGCACAAUUGUUCUACAAAAGGCGGUGGCUCUGCCUAGUGUUGGAUGGGCGCGUGCUCUGCAUGGUGAGGCGGGAGCGACAGUUGACUGUCCAUUCGUGUGUCGCAGUCGGGUGGUGUGCUUGCUUCCAAGUUUGGAGAUGAAGAGUUCCAUACAAAAGACCUACUCCCCUGAGAAGUAGUGAAGUGCUCCUGGGGCCCACCAAGGCCACACAAAUCAAGGAGUGGGUGACCUCACCCUGGCUUCAGCUCAGAGCUGAUUUUGAGAUCACCUUUGCAAAACGACAUCGUGCUGGGAGAUGUCAUCAGGACAAGACCAUAGAUGUGGCUGUCAAAGGAGGUGAGAAGAGAGAUGUCCAGGGGGAGAAGUGGCCAAACACCAACACCUCUGCAUCCAACCUCACAAAAGACUCAAAGAGAUGCAGAAACGGAGAUGGGGGAAUGGAAACCUCUUUCAAGCUAGGCUUUGAGGCCUGGUACUGAUCUCUCUUCUUCCUCCUGCAACCUACAGCACCUGCAGUUUUCUCACCUCAGUUGAUGGAAACUCCAUCCUUAC
rnacentral:lncRNA from 10 species